rfam:Trichoderma gamsii strain T6085 Scaffolds0016.1, whole genome shotgun sequence.
UCCGAUAUGGUGUAGUGGCUAACAUCGCUCGCUCUCAUUCAUGACCCGAGCAGCCCUGGGUUCGAUUCCCAGUAUCGGAG